GGUCAAAGAGAAAAGGGCACAGGGUGGAUGCCUUGGCGUUAGCAGCCGAAGACGGGCGUGGCAAGACUGCGAAAAGCCUCGGCGAGCUGUCUAGCAAGCCUAGCCGGGGAUACCCUAAUGGGAAAACUCGCCUGGGUAAAACCCAGGCUCUUGCUAAAAGCGAGAGGGAACCGGGGAAACUGAAACAUCUUAGUACCCUGAGGAAAAGAAAUCGAAUGAGAUUCCCGGAGUAGUGGCGAACGAAAGGGGAAGAGCCUAAACUCGAAUGACUUAGUGGGCUUGGGUCUUAUGUCAUUCGAGGGUUGUAAGACACGAGGGACAGAGCUCAAGAGCUGUCACAGAGUUACAAAACUUCCGCCUAGUCAAAGGUUUCUGGAAAGGACAACCAUAGAGGGUGAUAGUCCCGUAGACGAAAGGAGAAAGUCUCUGCUUGUGUUCUUAAGUACCACGGGGCACGAGGAAUCCCGUGGGAAUCCGGGGUGACCACACUCCAAGGCUAAAUACUGCUAACGACCGAUAGUGAACCAGUACCGUGAGGGAAAGGUGAAAAGCACCCCAAGAGGGGAGUGAAAUAGAACCUGAAACCUUGUGCCUACAAGCAGUCAGAGGCUUGGUUUUUACCAGGCUGAUGGCGU
rnacentral:rRNA from 1 species